rnacentral:rRNA from 1 species
ACUCCUACGGGAGGCAGCAGUGGGGAAUAUUGCACAAUGGGCGCAAGCCUGAUGCAGCCAUGCCGCGUGUAUGAAGAAGGCCUUCGGGUUGUAAAGUACUUUCAGCAGUGAGGAAGGUGGAUAUGUUAAUAGCAUAUUCAUUUGACGUUAGCUGCAGAAGAAGCACCGGCUAACUCCGUGCCAGCAGCCGCGGUAAUACGGAGGGUGCGAGCGUUAAUCGGAAUUACUGGGCGUAAAGCGCAUGCAGGUGGUUUGUUAAGUCAGAUGUGAAAGCCCGGGGCUCAACCUCGGAAUUGCAUUUGAAACUGGCAAACUAGAGUACUGUAGAGGGGGGUAGAAUUUCAGGUGUAGCGGUGAAAUGCGUAGAGAUCUGAAGGAAUACCGGUGGCGAAGGCGGCCCCCUGGACAGAUACUGACACUCAGAUGCGAAAGCGUGGGGAGCAAACAGGAUUAGAUACCCUGGUAAGGCUCUGCG